rnacentral:rRNA from 1 species
UACGUAGGGUGCGAGCGUUGUCCGGAAUUAUUGGGCGUAAAGGGCUCGUAGGCGGUUUGUCGCGUCGGGAGUGAAAACCCGGGGCUCAACCCCGGGCCUGCAUUCGAUACGGGCAGACUAGAGUUCGGUAGGGGAGUCUGGAAUUCCUGGUGUAGCGGUGAAAUGCGCAGAUAUCAGGAGGAACACCGGUGGCGAAGGCGGGUCUCUGGGCCGAUGACUGACGCUGGAGGAGCGAAAGCGUGGGGAGCGAACAGG